GUGUUGUUAGAAGGGAGAGAAGGUCAGCACUCCCCUUGACAAGAAUGGAAGAGGCUGUCGGGCUAACAACACACAUGGUUAAGGCAUUGCCACCUACUUUGUGGCAUCCAACCAUCGUUUUUA